CCGCACAAGCGGUGGAUUAUGUGGAUUAAUUCGAUGCAACGCGAAAAACCUUACCUGGCCUUGACAUGUACCGAAUUUACCAGAGAUGGUUUAGUGCUCGAAAGAGAACGGUAACACAGGUGCUGCAUGGCUGUCGUCAGCUCGUGUCGUGAGAUGUUGGGUUAAGUCCCGCAACGAGCGCAACCCUUGCCAAUAAUUGCCAUCAUUUGGUUGGGCACUUUAUUGGGACUGCCGGUGACAAACCGGAGGAAGGUGGGGAUGACGUCAAGUCCUCAUGGCCCUUAUGGCCAGGGCUUCACACGUAAUACAAUGGUCGGUACAGAGGGUCGCCAACCCGCGAGGGGGAGCUAAUCCCAGAAAGCCGAUCGUAGUCCGGAUUGCAGGCUGCAACUCGCCUGCAUGAAGUCGGAAUCGCUAGUAAUCGCGGAUCAGCAUGUCGCGGUGAAUACGUUCCCGGGCCUUGUACACACCGCCCGUCACACCAUGGGAGUGGGUUUUACCAGAAGUAGGUAGUCUAACCGCAAGGGGGGCGCUUACCACGGUAGUAUUCAUGACUGGGGUGAAGUCGUAACAAGGUAACCGUA
rnacentral:rRNA from 1 species